AUACCUUUCUUGGCCUUUUGGCUAAGAUCAAGUGUAGUAUCUGUUCUUAUCAGUUUAAUAUCUGAUACGUGGGCAUUGGUUCACAUGAUAUUAAAUUAGUUUUUGUAAGGUAGGGUACAUCAUAGUAUCUUGCUACUGGGAUCCUCAAGGGUCGCUCAUGUGAUGCACUACUGCAAGGGCCUGGCACACCCCAC